AACGAACGCUGGCGGCAUGCCUAACACAUGCAAGUCGAACGAGAUCUUCGGGUCUAGUGGCGCACGGGUGCGUAACGCGUGGGAAUCUGCCCUUUGGUUCGGAAUAACAGUUGGAAACGACUGCUAAUACCGGAUGAUGACGAAAGUCCAAAGAUUUAUCGCCAGAGGAUGAGCCCGCGUAGGAUUAGCUAGUUGGUGUGGUAAAGGCGCACCAAGGCGACGAUCCUUAGCUGGUCUGAGAGGAUGAUCAGCCACACUGGGACUGAGACACGGCCCAGACUCCUACGGGAGGCAGCAGUGGGGGAUAUUGGACAAUGGGCGAAAGCCUGAUCCAGCAAUGCCGCGUGAGUGAUGAAGGCCUUAGGGUUGUAAAGCUCUUUUACCCGGGAUGAUAAUGACAGUAUCGGGAGAAUAAGCUCCGGCUAACUCCGUGCCAGCCGCCGCAGUAA
rnacentral:rRNA from 1 species